rnacentral:rRNA from 1 species
UACGUAGGUGGCGAGCGUUGUCCGGAUUUACUGGGCGUAAAGGGAGCGUAGGCGGACUUUUAAGUGAGAUGUGAAAUACCCGGGCUUAACUUGGGUGCUGCAUUUCAAACUGGAAGUCUAGAGUGCAGGAGAGGAGAAUGGAAUUCCUAGUGUAGCGGUGAAAUGCGUAGAGAUUAGGAAGAACACCAGUGGCGAAGGCGAUUCUCUGGACUGUAACUGACGCUGAGGCUCGAAAGCGUGGGGAGCAAACAGGAUUAGAUACCCGCGUA